UGUAUCAGCAUAGCAGAUACAUGAAAUAUUCUCUUCUGAUCUUCAAAGCACUCCUAUCUACAGAAAUAAAAACAUUUUUUCUAGAUCUAUUGGCACAAAUUUUGUAUCUACACAAACAAAAACAAUCCCAUAGCCUACAAAUUGGGAAUGCAUGCUACAUCAACGUGCUAGAUGGGAGGGAUUUCUAUACCUUUGUAAACACUUAGAGAAGAAAGGGGAGAUCGUUAGGGCCCUAAAAACUCCAAUUUUGCUUCACUUUUGAUCAAAUUUUUUAAUGAAAACAAUGAGGCAUGCAGCACAUCUGACAGAGUUUUGUCUCCUCUCACUUAUCUGAUGUAUUUCUCCCUUCCCAAGCUAUUUUAUAUGACAGAUAGUGAAGGAUUUAAGAAUAGCCUCCAAUUCUACAUGCUAAUGUACUGAUGGUGUGGACAUGAUCAAGCAGUUGAGUUCCAACAUUUGCAGAUUACAAUCAUGUAUUGGAAACACAUGAAGGAUACUGCCAUAGCUGACUUAAUCUGCCAAACUUGCAAGAAAUUUGCAGGAUUUGCCGAAAUAAUGAGCUUCCCAAAGUGAUUACACUUAAAUUAGCUGGUCUUUCAUGUAGCCAAAGUAACCACAAAAACCAUCAUCAGGCUGUCGACAGAUAAACGAUGCCGACUAAACCAAGCACAUUUCAUUCCUCCAGUCCGGGAACAGUAAACUUUGACUUUAGCUGCUUAGAUUCCAGCUGUCACCCGUGAUGCUUCUCCUUGCGUUCGCAACAACAGUCUGCACCGACUGUAUCCCACCAGCCGACUUUGCACCGUGCCAAUGGUGGUUUUCUCGUGCAAAGUCGGUUCACAAUUUUAGAUUACAUGAUUGUGAGUCGAGUACAAAUUGAAGAUUACUGUGCCUCUGAAUUGCUCUCCAUGUCUCCGGGGGCAGUUGCAACAACGCAGACUUGCGCAGGGGACAGAACUUACACGAUUAGGGUCGAUAUCCGGCCGCCGCUCCGAAUACGAUGCUGCGACUGCUUCAAAAGGUUUGCCAGAAGGGGAUGCUCAAUCUUGUUUUUGGUGCUGUUGGUUUCAUUCUGUACCUACUUGUACGGGUGGAUACCAUCUAUAAUAGGUAGCUGCCACAGACCGCCUGGUAUUUUGCUCCAGACUGUGAGCAUUCGUGACAUGGCCGUCUACCAGAACACCACCGCGGCUGCCCCCGACUCGCCGUGGCUGGUGAGCAGCGACUUCAACCUCUCGCUCUCGACACGGAGCCCGAACACGGUGGCAAAGUGCUUCACCACGUUUCGAGAAAUGGUUGUGGCCGUGAGGUACAGGGGCGAUCUGAUUCUGAGACAAGAGGUGAAUCUGCGGUUCUCCUUGAGGCCGAGGGAGAACAGGGAACUGACGGUGGCGGUGAAGGGCGAGCAAGCCUCGCUGCGGCAACAGCUGGGGCCGGUGUUGGAGGCAGAGCUGCGGAGCGACGCAGGCCAAAUCGUCGUGGAGUUUUACUUCGACACCCGGUACUUGAUCGCGGACAGGAGGUCCAAGUGGAAGCGCUUCGGGUGCCAGGUGGUGGCUACGACGCCGCAGAAGGGCUCGGGGGCAGGCAGAUUGCUGAGUCAAAGAUGCAAGACAAUUGAUUAAGCCCCCUCCACUUGGGAAUGCCAGAGGUGACAUACGCUGUGAAGAUGGCGAAGGCACCCGUGGUAUGUGUCUGAGGAGAUGCGAAGUGAACCAACUGAGGAAGUGAGCGAUUUGUGUUCCUGUCAAAGCCAGUUGGAAACGUUCUUUUGGGUUCGUUGGAUGUCACUCAACUUCACACGCCAACUUGCACCUUUCCUUGCUGAACACGUCCAACGGUUGCUCGUUGCAGGCAUUGGCGAGUACGUUGGAUUGGGCAUUUUGGUAUUUCAAAGGACAGCCACUAUAGGGGGGAAGCUUUGUGCAGAAGUGAUGCGCAUAGAUAUGAGUUGGGCGCCGAUCCAAUCGGUCGGUAUCUCAAGCUGUAUGAGCACACUGUCGAAGAUGGGAAUUCUCCUGCUCCCAUCUCUUUAGCUCAAAUUCGGUCAAGUGCAAUUUCGGAGUGCCGGCCUGCAUCGGCAUGCAUUUGCUUCUCGUCGUGGCUGACCACGUGUUGCACUUCCGGCUUGUGGACUAGACGCAGCGGAGCAUGGAAGCUACAGGAGUUGAAAAAUAACAAAAGAGUUCCGAAAUAGGGGUUGUGAGUAUCCAUGGAUUGAAAUAUGUCCAAAAUGGUGGAUUUUCACACUACCAAUCAUGCUUACUUUGCACAGAAUAUCAUCACAUGUGCAAGAGUAUGGUCAUAGUGCACAUGAUGUGUUUGAAUAUGACAAUCAUAUGCACAAUUACAUAUAUCAUAUGCACAAUUACAUAUGUCAUUUGCAAGUAAUUUAAUGCUACAAUUAUGUACAGCAUUUGCAAGUAAUUUAAUGCAAGCACAAAGUUACUACUUUCUAGACUUU